rnacentral:rRNA from 1 species
UCCCAGACUCCUACGGGAGGCAGCAGUGGGGGAUAUUGCACAAUGGGGGGAACCCUGAUGCAGCGACGCCGCGUGGGCGAGGGAGCGCCUCGGCGCGUAAAGCCCUUUCGGCGGGGGAGAACGAUGACGGUACCCGACGAAGAAGCACCGGCUAAAUACGUGCCAGCAGCCGCGGGAAUACGCAUGGUGCGAGCGUUGUCCGGAUUUACUGGGCGUGAAGGGGGCGCAGGCGGCGCGCCAAGCCCGAUGUGAAAGCCCGGGGCUCAACCCCGGGACUGCAUUGGGAACUGGCGUGCUGGAGUGCCGGAGGGGCAGGCGGAAUUCCUGGUGUAGCGGUGAAAUGCGUAGAUAUCACGCAGAACUCCGAUUGCGAAGGCAGCAUACCGGCGCCCGACUGACGCUGAGGCACGAAAGCGUGGGUAUCGAACAGGAUUAGAUACCCUCGUAC